GAUGAAGAACGUAGCGAAGUGCGAUAUGUAGUGUGAAUUGCAGAAUUCAGUGAAUCAUCGAAUCUUUGAACGCACAUUGCGCCCGCCAGUAUUCUGGCGGGCAUGCCUGUUCGAGCGUCAUUUCAACCAUCAAGCCCCAGGCUUGUGUUGGGGACCUGCGGCUGCCGCAGGCCCUGAAAACCAGUGGCGGGCUCGCUGUCACACCGGGCGUAGUAGAUUUUAUCUCGCUCAGGGCGUGCUGCGGGUUCCGGCCGUUAAAAAGCCUUUUUUACCCAAGGUUGACCUCGGAUCAGGUAGGAAGACCCGCUGAACUUAAGCAUAUCAAUAAGCGGAGGA
rnacentral:misc_RNA from 1 species